rnacentral:tRNA from 1 species
UCCCUGGUGGCUCAGACGGUGAAGUGUCUGCCUGCAAUGCGGGAGGCCCAGGUUCGAUUCCUGGGUCGGGAA